CCUACGGGUGGCUGCAGUGGGGAAUAUUGCACAAUGGGCGCAAGCCUGAUGCAGCCAUGCCGCGUGUGUGAAGAAGGCCUUCGGGUUGUAAAGCACUUUCAGCGGGGAGGAAGGCGGUGAGGUUAAUAACCUCAUCGAUUGACGUUACCCGCAGAAGAAGCACCGGCUAACUCCGUGCCAGCAGCCGCGGUAAUACGGAGGGUGCAAGCGUUAAUCGGAAUUACUGGGCGUAAAGCGCACGCAGGCGGUCUGUCAAGUCGGAUGUGAAAUCCCCGGGCUCAACCUGGGAACUGCAUUCGAAACUGGCAGGCUAGAGUCUUGUAGAGGGGGGUAGAAUUCCAGGUGUAGCGGUGAAAUGCGUAGAGAUCUGGAGGAAUACCAGUGGCGAAGGCGGCUCUCUGGCCUGUAACUGACGCUGAGGCGCGAAAGCGUGGGGAGCGAACAGGAUUAGAUACCCUAGUAGUC
rnacentral:rRNA from 1 species